UAAUGACAGUGAGGACACAAGU
rnacentral:piRNA from 1 species